rnacentral:rRNA from 1 species
AACGUAGGACACAAGCGUUAUCCGGAGUUACUGGGCGUAAAGGGCGUGUAGGCGGAUCGGUAAGUCUACUCUGAAAGCUCCUGGCUAAACUGGGAGAGGCGAGUGGAGACUGUCGGUCUAGAGUGAGGAAGAGGAAAGUGGAAUUCCGGGUGUAGUGGUGGAAUACGUAGAUAUCCGGAGGAACACCAGCGGCGAAGGCGGCUUUCUGGUCUGAUACUGACGCUGAGGCGCGAAAGCGUGGGGAGCGAUCCGG